UACAGAGGUCCCAAGCGUUGUUCGGAUUCAUUGGGCGUAAAGGGUGCGUAGGUGGCGCUGUAAGUCGGGUGUGAAAUUUCGGAGCUUAACUCCGAAACUGCAUUCGAUACUGCGGUGCUCGAGGACUGGAGAGGAGACUGGAAUUCAUGGUGUAGCAGUGAAAUGCGUAGAGAUCAUGAGGAAGACCAGUGGCGAAGGCGGCUCACUGGCCCGGUACUGACGCUGAGGCGCGAAAGCGUGGGGAGCAAACAGG
rnacentral:rRNA from 1 species